rnacentral:rRNA from 1 species
UACGUAGGGUCCAAGCGUUAUCCGGAAUCACUGGGCGUAAAGCGUGCGUAGGUGGAUGUUUAAGUGUGAUGUUAAAUCGUGUGGCUCAACCAUAUCGAUGUGUCGCAUACUGGGCAUCUAGAGGACAGCAGAGGCAAGUGGAAUUACGAGUGUAGCGGUAAAAUGCGUAGAUAUUCGUAGGAACACCAAUGGCGAAGGCAGCUUGCUGGGCUACUCCUGACACUGAGACACGAAAGCGUGGGUAGCAAACAGG